rnacentral:lncRNA from 1 species
AAUUUUUAAAAUUUAAUUUAUUAUAAUUUUUAAUUAGAAUUUUUAAAAUUCUAAUUAAUAUUUAGUCAUCUAUAUAAGAUUGUGAAAUUUGAUUAUGAUAAUUUACUAAGUUUGAGUUAUAAAUUAUAGCAAAUUAAAAUUUAAGCACCAAAAUAUCGUGAGUCUCAGAGUUUUAGAACCAAAAGUAUAAUUUAGCCUAAAAAAAUUAUCUUGCGCCUGAUAAUAAUGGACUAGGGCUACUAUAUUCUUAUGAGUAUGAGCCCCUUUACACUCAUAAGUUUUCGAUCAUUGGAUGAAAGAUGUAUGGUUAGGAUGAUAGCGGUCUCCGAUUAAAAUAAUAGUGAUCCGUUAGGGUUGAGUGGGUGGUUGGUUGAAUAAUAUGAUAUAACAGAUAAAAAUGAUCAAAAAAGUAGAUCUAACGACCGAAAAUUUACGAAUACAAAAAAUACUUGUACUCAUAAAAGUAAAGUAGCCGGACUCAUAAUAAUGUAGCAAAUAUUAGUUAAUGCUGAAAGGACAGUUUUAUUGGAAUUAACAAUAAUUCUUAACUAUGAUUAAAUUAAAAUGAAUAAUUACAAUUGAGAAUAAAAUUAAGAUAGAAACUAUGAAACUAAUUUAAACUAUCAACUAUUUGAAUGUGAGUAUCUAAUUUUUAAAAAUUUUAAUUUUACUAUCUAACUUUUUAAUUUAUUUAAUUUAAAUCAGUCAACGAUACUUUGACUAUAAAAUUUAAAUAUAUCGUUCAUCUUUACAGAUUUACUUACUAUAUUUUAUACAAUUCUCACAACUAUAAAUUAAUUAAAAUAAGUAAUUAGCUUAAAUUUAAAGUCAAAGUGUCAUCUAUUGCAUCAAAUCAAACAAAAUGAAAAAUCGGAUCGUAAAAUUAAAAUUUUGAAAAUUAGAUAGCCAUAUUUAAAUAUUUUAUAGUCCAACUAAGUUUCAUACGUUUUUACCUCUAAUUAUAAGAAAAUUGAGAAUGAAAAAUAAAAGAGAUAAUUGUCUACAUAUGUCUCAAAAUCUUUGAAAUACCUUAUUUAUUCAUAUUUUUUAUUUCAAAUAUUUUUAUAUAUAUUUUUUUGUUAUUUAAAAAUAUCUCUGUUGUUAGUGUCCGUUAAAUUAUCUCAGGUUAAAUAUGAGUUAAAUUUCUAUUAUAGUUAAAAAAUAAUAAAAAUAUCUAUUUUGUCUCUAAUUUAAGAGCAAAUAAAAGAAAAUGAUGACAGUAAAGAAUAUAUUUGAAAGGGCAAAAGGUCAAAACAUUUUUUUUGCCCCUAACUUAUAAGAGCAAAUAAAAAAAAUUGGUGACAACAAAAAAGCAUAUUUGAAAGGACAAAAUGAUAAUUUUAUAGACACAAUGACGGUUCCUAACAGUUUGUUAAUAGAAUUUAACUCUCGGAUAUAUUUGAAAGACUUUCGAAUCUUAAAAUAGUAUUUUUAAUAGUGACCUUUCAAGAGGGAUAAAUAAAAAAAUGGAGAAUUUUUUAGGGAUAUAUAAGCAAUUGCCCUCAAAAUAAAAAAAAAGGGGUAAACUUCAAAUACCACCCCUUUCUGACUUUGGUACCCUGUAGUUUAAAGUAUAUUUAGUGUCAUGUAGUUUCAUUUUUAUCUUUUCGUUAGCUUCUCCGUUAAUAUUUCGUUAAACUAUAUACAAUAAACUUUAGAUACCCACCUAGGGUUAUCGAAUAUUCACUUUAGUACCUUUCAGUUUUAAUUUUGUCACCGAUUUAAUGAAAAAAAAUAAUAAAAUUGAUAAUAAAAAGAUAAAAAUAAAAUCAUAUGGCACUAAAUUGAUACAAUUUAAAUUACAGAGUAGUAAAGUAAGAAAGUGUAAAACUACAGGGGUGGUAUUUGAAGUUUUUUCAAAUACAAAAGAGAAAAAGG